GAAACCCAGAACCAGACGCUGAAUCUGCUGGCGCCUUAAUCUUGGAUUUCCCAGCCUCCAGAACUAUUAACCCUGAGCUAACUGCUGCCAAUCCUCCUCUCUUUGCUGAGGAAGGCUGGCCCUGAGCUAACAUCCAUGCCCAUCUUCCUCUACUUUAUAUGCUGGAUGCCUACCACAGCAUGGCGUGCCAAGCGGUGCCAUGUCUGCACCUGGGAUCCGAACCAGUGAACCCCGGGCCGCCGAAGCGGAAGAGAAUCAGAGCUCCAUGAGGGAAUGGCAGAGUCCAAGGCUGGGGCAGGGAAGCACCAGACGAGCCAGGAACACAGAGCAUCUUGAUGUACCAGAAAGGAACCCGUAACCUGAAUCAAGUCAUGAGGAAGCACCAGGCAAGUCCCACCGAACGUUCUACAAAACAACUGGUUUAUGUUCUUCAAACAUGUGAAUGUAAUGCAAGACGAAGACGUAGUAAGGAACUGUUCCAGAUUAAAGAAGAUUAAAGACACAUGACAAUUUAAUGCGUAUGUGACCCCUGGUUGAAGCUUGUACUAGAGGGGAAAAACGCUAUAAGGAAUUUUAUUGGUAUAAUUGACAAAAUUGGAAUGUGGAUUGUAGAGCAGGGGCUGGCCCAAUGACGUAUUGGUUAAGUUCACACACUCCACUUCAGUGGCCUGGGGUUCGAGGGUUCAGAUCCCGAGUGCGGGUUUUCACACUGCUCAUCACGCCAUGCUGUGGUGGCGUCCCACAUACAAAACAGAGGAAGCUAGGCACAGAUGUUAGCUCAGUGACAAUCUUCCUCAAGCAAAAAGAGGAAGAUUGGCAACAGAUGUUAGCUCAGGGCCAAUCUUCCCCACCAAAAAAAAAAAAAAUCUGGAUCGCAGAAAAAAGCAUAUAUCAAGGUUAAGUGUUCUGAUUUGAUAACUAUUUUGUGGUUAUGCAAGAAAAUAUACUUGUUUCUGGAACUAUAUAAUGAAGUAUUAAGAGUAUAAUAAAGACAUGAUCUAUAUAACCUCAAAUUGUUCAGAAAAAAUAAACAAUUACAGAGGGAAAGAAAGAGAGAGAUAAUCAAAUAAAUGUGAUAAAAUGUAAAAAAAAAGAUUAUUCUGGAUAAAGGCUAUAUGAGAGUUCUCUGUAAUUUUGGCAACAUUUCUUUACAU
rnacentral:lncRNA from 1 species